rnacentral:rRNA from 1 species
AUUGAACGCUGGCGGCAUGCUUUACACAUGCAAGUCGAACGGUAACAGGCCUUCGGGUGCUGCCGAGUGGCGAACGGGCGAGUAAUGCAUCGGUACGUGCCCUGAGGUGGGGGAUAACGCAGCUAAAGCUGUGCUAAUAUAGCAUGUGAUCUGAGUAUGAAAGCCGGGGACUAGGCUGCAAUGUUUGGCUUCGCGCCUUUGGAGCGGCCGAUGUGAGAUUAGGUAGUUGGUGGGGUAAAGGCCUACCACGCCGCCGAUCUGUAGCUAGUUGGAGAGGACGACCAGCCACACGGGAACGGAAACACGGCCCAGACUCCUACGGGAGGCGGCAGAGGGGAAUUUUGGACAAUGGGCGCAAGCCUGAUCAAGCAAUGCCGCGUGCGGGAAGAGGGCCUUCGGGUGGUAAGCCGCUUUUGUACGGAACGAAAAGGCUCUGGCUAAUACCUGGGGCUGAUGACGGUACCGUAAGAAUAAGCACCGGCUAACUACGUG